GUGAUGGGUCGCCUCACCGCGGCGCUUUCGGGCGACGAGGAAAGUCCGGGCAACACAGAGCACCUUGCUUCCUAACGGGAAGGACUGGCGCGCAUAACGCAAACCAGGACAGCGAGUGCCACAGAAAAGUACCGCCAGCGGUAAGUGAGUAAAAUAGCAAGUGAGUAAAUUACUCAUUUACCAACUUACCCAUUUACCACUGGUAAGGGUGAAAAGGUGCGGUAAGAGCGCACCAGCGGGCGGGUGACCGUUCCGGCUGGGUAAACCUCAGGGGUUGAAAGACCAAAUAAGCUGGUACGCCGGCGCGGCUUCGGCCGCAUCGGCUCCGGGCGGCUCGUCCGGCGCCAGCGGGUAGGUUGAUGGAGCCUUUCCGCGAGGACUGGCCUAGAUAAAUGGUGAGGCAGGGGCUUCGGCCCCGGACAAAACCCGGCUUACAGACCCAUCACCAAU
rnacentral:RNase_P_RNA from 1 species